rnacentral:misc_RNA from 1 species
AGCAGCCGCGGUAAUUCCAGCUCCAAUAGCGUAUAUUAAAGUUGUUGCAGUUAAAAAGCUCGUAGUUGAAUUUCGGGAUCAAUUAAUCGGUCGUGCCUCUGGUACGCACUGGUUUUAUUGGUUUCUCCCUUCUGACGAACCAGGAUGUCAUUAAUUUGGUGUCUUGGAGAAUCAGGACUGUUACUUUGAAAAAAUUAGAGUGUUUAAAGCAGGCUAACGCUUGAAUACAUUAGCAUGGAAUAAUGAAAUAGGACGUUUGAUCCUAUUUUGUUGGUUUCUAGGAUCGACGUAAUGAUUAAUAGGGAUAGUUGGGGGCAUUAGUAUUCAAUUGUCAGAGGUGAAAUUCUUGGAUUUAUUGAAGACUAACUACUGCGAAAGCAUUUGCCAAGGAUGUUUUCAUUAAUCAAGAACGAAAGUUAGGGGAUCGAAGACGAUCAGAUACCGUCGUAGUCUUAACCAUAAACUAUGCCGACUAGGGAUCGGAUGAUGUUAAUUUUUUUAAUGACUCAUUCGGCGCCUU